UGAGUAACCUGCCUUCAGCUUUGGGAUAACCCCCGGAAACGGGGGCUAAUACCGGGUAUUCACUCUGGGGGGCAUCUUCUGGGGUGGAAAGCUUUUGCGGCUGGGGAUGGGCUCGCGGCCUAUCAGCUUGUUGGUGGGGUGAUGGCCUACCAAGGCGGCGACGGGUAGCCGGCCUGAGAGGGCGACCGGCCACACUGGGACUGAGACACGGCCCAGACUCCUACGGGAGGCA
rnacentral:rRNA from 1 species